UACGAACUGUGCAAACGUUAUUCGGAAUCACUGGGCUUAAAGGGUGCGUAGGCGGCUUGUUAAGUAGGGUGUGAAAUCCCCCGGCUCAACCGGGGAAUUGCGCCCUAAACUGGCGAGCUGGAGUGAGAUAGGGGUGUGUGGAACUUCCGGUGGAGCGGUGAAAUGCGUUGAUAUCGGAAGGAACGCCAGUGGCGAAAGCGACACACUGGGUCUCAACUGACGCUGAGGCACGAAAGCCAGGGGAGCAAACAGG
rnacentral:misc_RNA from 1 species